rnacentral:rRNA from 1 species
GACGAACGCUGGCGGCGUGCUUAACACAUGCAAGUCGAACGAAGUGGCGAACGGGUGAGUAACGCGUAAUAAACCUGCCCUUCAGGGGGGGACAACAGUUGGAAACGACUGCUAAUCCCGCAUAAUGAAGGAGUGGAUUGCGUCUGAUUCGCUAGUUGGAGGGGUAACGGCCCACCAAGGCGAUGAUCAGUAGCCGGUCUGAGAGGAUGGACGGCCAAAUUGGGACCGAGACACGGGCCAGAACUCUCCGGGAGGCAGCAGUGGGGAAUCUUCCGCAAUGGACGAAAGUCUGACGGAGCAACGCCGCGGGAGUGGUGACGGCCUUCGGGGUGUAAAGCUCUGUUAAUCGGGACGCGGUACCGGAAGAGAAAGCCACGGCUAACUACGUGCCAGCCGCCGCGGUAAUAC